rnacentral:rRNA from 1 species
UGGGGAAUCUUGCGCAAUGGGCGAAAGCCUGACGCAGCCAUGCCGCGUGUAUGAUGAAGGUCUUAGGAUUGUAAAAUACUUUCACCGGGGAAGAUAAUGACGGUACCCGGAGAAGGAGCCCCGGCUAACUUCGUGCCAGCAGCCGCGGUAAUACGAAGGGGGCUAGAGUUGCUCGGAAUUACUGGGCGUAAAGGGCGCGUAGGCGGAUAUUUAAGUCGGGGGUGAAAGCCCAGGGCUCAACCCUGGAAUUGCCUUCGAUACUGGAUAUCUUGAGUUCGGGAGAGGUGAGUGGAAUGCCGAGUGUAGAGGUGAAAUUCGUAGAUAUUCGGAGGAACACCAGUGGCGAAGGCGGCUUACUGGUCCAUUACUGACGCUGAGGUGCGAAAGCGUGGGGAGCAAAC